AUGAAAGUCGUCGUCAGAAUACUCCAUCUGCCAUCAGACAUGCAGUCUAGGUUAUAUGAAGUGACAGGAAGACUUUUUCCUCAUGUUUGUGAACAUAACAAAAACAAAUAUGAACAGAUUUAUAGUAUAGAUCACUGCAAAAGCAGACCACUGUGAAGGAAAAUCUGAAAACCAAACAUGGGUAAAAACUAUAUGUACGCAUCUGAAAUUGUACCCACUAGCGAAUUCAGAUUCAGUUUGUAGCUUUGAGAAGUUCCUCACAAACAUAACAGAACUGAAUCAGUGAAUUUUUUGUCUCACACCAUUUUUUCCCAGCUUGCUAUAAAUAUCCCUGGAGUCUAGCACGACAGUGACAGUGACGCACACUGUGUAUCAUCAAAUUUCUCCCUCGCACACCACUGCCAGCUGAAAUUUUGUCAAGGUGUUUACGAGCCUUCGGCCAGCAUUCCCUCUCGCUCUAGUUUACUCUCAGCAGCACUAGACAUCAAAAAGCCUUCCUCCUCACGGAAAAAUCAGGACGCUGUGGACGUCUCACCAUAUGUUUACAUGACUAGUUACAUGGAUCCGUUUGCCCCUGCUGGUCAAUGCUGUAACUACGCCAUUUGAUUUAUGGCAACAGGUGCAUAAGCGCUAGUUAGGAUGCUAGUGUAACAUGGCAUCGAAACACAAUAAUGUUGAAUGUUAAACGAAUGUUAAACAACCAUCUCCUGUAAACCGAUGUUACUAAUUAUCACAAAAUGAGACAGAAAAAUCAUAACAGAAUUAGGAUUACAUGUCAGAACAUGUAAGGACUGUAAAGGACUGAAUUUAGAGAAAUAGAUGCAUUUUUAAAAUGUAUCUGGAUAAAUGUGGACUUAGUGUUUAGUUGUAUGUACCAUCGGCUUUGCUCACUGCAGAGUAUUUGCAAACAUAUACAUGCCAAUUUUAUUUUUUUUAUUUUUUUAUUUAGGUAAUUACAUUGUACUGGGUUUUUGUUCUUGACAUUAUAGCAGACAGUAUUCUUGACUAAACUAAAUGGAUCAUGUUGUCUGUAUAAGUAUUUCUGUGUUGCAGAAGUUAUACAUUUACAGAAAACAAUCACCCUAAUGAGCACACGAUUCACCUUGAAACCUGUGAGUCUCUUAAAUAAAUGCCACGUUUUCUAAAUACAUUCAGGUUGGGAAUCUAAAGUGCAACAGUGAAUAUUAAGAAUGUAAAGCUGCCUUUAUAUUAUAAAACUGAUAUUUGUAUAUUUCCAACUUACACAGUUGUUCUUUGUUAUUGUGAAUAGUCCUUUAUUUUUAUAUACUACAUGACAGCUCAGACAAAUUCCAUGUAUGAU
ensembl:lncRNA